rnacentral:rRNA from 1 species
UACAGAGGGUGCAAGCGUUGUUCGGAAUUAUUGGGCGUAAAGCGCGUGUAGGCGGCUUUGCAAGUCGGGUGUGAAAGCCCUCGGCUCAACCGAGGAAGUGCGCCCGAAACUGCAGAGCUUGAGUACCGGAGAGGAUGGCGGAAUUCCCAAGUAGAGGUGAAAUUCGUAGAUAUGGGGAGGAACACCGGUGGCGAAGGCGGCCAUCUGGACGGAUACCGACGCUGAGACGCGAAAGCGUGGGGAGCAAACAGG